rnacentral:misc_RNA from 1 species
GAUGAAGAACGUAGUGAAAUGCGAUAAGUAAUGUGAAUUGCAGAAUUCAGUGAAUCAUCGAAUCUUUGAACGCACAUUGCGCCCGCCAGUAUUCUGGCGGGCAUGCCUGUUCGAGCGUCAUUUCAACCAUCAAGCCCCCGGCUUGUGUUGGGGACCUGCGGCUGCCGCAGGCCCUGAAAACCAGUGGCGGGCUCGCUAGUCACUCCGAGCGUAGUAAUACAUCUCGCUCAGGGCGUGCUGCGGGUUCCGGCCGUUAAAAGCCUUAUUUACCCAAGGUUGACCUCGGAUCAGGUAGGAAGACCCGCUGAACUUAAGCAUAUCAAUAGCGGAGGA